rnacentral:rRNA from 1 species
AUGCACUCCAGCAGCCUCCUGCAAUCCCUACCAGUCCCCUCUCAGAUCUGGGCAGAUAUUUCUAUGAUUUUUGUGAAGGGCCUUCCACGGGUGCACGACAAAUCAGUCUUUCUUUCAGUGGUGGAUCGAUUCUCCAAGAUGGCACGCUUCAUUCCGCUUGGUCACCCCUACUCGGCAGCAACAGUCAUCCAUGCUUUCUUCACCGACAUCGUACAGCUUCACGGCCUACCAGAGACGAUAGUAUCUGAUCGAGACCCUGUGUUUACAAAUUACAAGUCAGUUCUGGUCAGAACUCUUCCGCCUCUCCAGGGUUCAGCUCCACAUGAGCUCUGCCUUCCAUCCGCAGUCUGA